UUAGAUGGCGCGGGGUGUCGUACAUUCGGCUGAGAAAUACCCGUUGAACUUGAUCUGGUUCAUACCAGCGUAAGAACGCCUUCAAAAAAUUGA
rnacentral:ncRNA from 2 species